CGCCACAGCUCUUGUGCAUCCUCUAACGGUAGCAGCCACGCGCAGUGUGACUUGUAUGCGUUAGCUUGAUCGCAGAUGGCUGGAGUUCACUCCUCCACCACUUGGGUUUCUCCCCGCAUUGCAGACAACUGUGCGUGUUGCGGCCACCCCGACAUAGCUUUUUUUUUUUUUUUUUUUUUUUUUUUUUAAUCUUGCUGAUAUUAUUGCCAGGUUUGAACUGGUCAGCUGCGGACAACCAGACUUUUGUGGUUGUUAACUGUUUGGAGGUAAUCGGAAACCGAUUUUCAUCCUUGGGAAUCGGCGCAGUCUUGGAAUUGUGACCAUGCACAGCGGUAUUAUAAAAAAUUGAUGCGAUAUCCGAAUGUGACCAGUUUUUCAGCGACCAAGUGCUCGUGCUCUGAGAAGUGAAAGAAUGGCCGCGAUUAGGUAGUGUUCAGCAUCAAUCACGUCGCUUCAUCACGCGCCUCUAUCCUUCGCUGCUUGCACGACAGUGUAGUUUGCCGCUACUUGAAUUUUGAACAGUACAUCAGCUCAUGGCAUGAAUUGUUGGAGAAAUCGAAAGUGUUACGCGUAUGUAGCUCUCAUGACAGCACGCUUUGAGCUCGGCUUCUCGGACGACUGAAGCCUGCAGAUCAGUGUGGAUAUAAUCUUGUUCGGUUUUAACUGUCGGCGAACGAGAUUUCAUGUAAUUAUGAAUGCGGAAAUAAGUGUGGUUAUUGUUCAUUUGAGGGACUGCAGUCUUACAAAUCAUUAUUUUGAUGCUUUUAGACAUGUAAUUCCAGACAAUUUCAGAGGUCGUGGUUAAGUGUUCAAUAGAAAGACCGCUAUUUCCAGUAUUGGGUUCAGGAUAAUUGUGCGGCUUUUAGUUUAACUUGAGCAGAUAAAAGCCAUAGGCAUCUAUUACGUGAUGUUCGAUAAUACAGAUGGUACACAAAAAUGCGGGGAUCCACGUGAUGAUCUAUCACGAUUUGAGUCACUUGUAAAAUUUUCAUAAACAUAAGAGAGUCACUUUAUUCGCAUAGCAGAAUUCAACAUAUACAUUUCGAAGAAGAGUUGUUCGAUCAGUUCACCUUAAGUUUCAACUCUAAAAUCUGUUCUAACUAGAUGACCACUUUUGUUCGUUACUAAUGCAUACCCAACCCAUACUUUUCGCCAACACUCCCUCUCGCCUGGGGUUUCCCUCUUUUUCACAUUUUCCAUGUGAGGGUGCGCAUUCGCUGCCAUCUCAAGGUUCAGCACCUUGGCGCUCCAGGACCGAGUCGAACACCUCUCUACGUGGGAGCUGUUGCUCAUAGGUCCUUGGCUCCUGGUCACAGUUUUCAGAAAAGGGUGCGAUGUAGUAAUUUCCUACCCCUACUAGCUACUUUUCGAGACCCUUAAGCAAAUUAAAGAAGCAGCACUAGAGGCAGAGCAGAAUACAGGCUGCAAUGUAGUUUCCGAACCAGACACUUUGAUAGAGGAUGUCUUGUACGAAGACCUCCCUCUCAGCAGUGUAAGUUUUCUUGAGUUUGAGUCAUCAUCAUCUAAUGUAUUACUUCCUCAGCUACAGCUUGAUAUUAAAUUUGUAAGAAAGGAAAUUGUGAAUAGACUGUAAGCUGUGAAUAACCCAUUUUGGCUUAUGAGGCUACAUAGUUUGAAUAAAAGUUGGAAACAAGAAAUAGAAUCUACCGAUCAA